rnacentral:rRNA from 1 species
GUUCCUACGGGACGCAGCAGUGGGGAAUAUUGCGCAAUGGACGAAAGUCUGACGCAGCGACGCCGCGUGAGGGAUGAAGGUUUUCGGAUCGUAAACCUCUGUCAGGAGGGAAGAAAGCGCAUGGCGCCAAUCAGCCAUGCGUUGACGGUACCUCCAAAGGAAGCGCCGGCUAACUCCGUGCCAGCAGCCGCGGUAAUACGGAGGGCGCGAGCGUUAAUCGGAAUUACUGGGCGUAAAGGGCGUGUAGGCGGGGACGCAAGUCAGAUGUGAAAACCACGGGCUCAACCUGUGG